CACGAACCGGGCAAACGUUAUUCGGAAUUACUGGGCUUAAAGGGUGCGUAGGCGGCGCUGUAAGUCGGGUGUGAAAUCCCACGGCUCAACCGUGGAACUGCGCCCGAUACUGCAGUGCUUGAGGAAGAUAGAGGUGAGCGGAACGAAUGGUGGAGCGGUGAAAUGCGUUGAUAUCAUUCGGAACACCCGUGGCGAAAGCGGCUCACUGGGUCUUUUCUGACGCUGAGGCACGAAAGCUAGGGGAGCGAACGGGAUUAGAAACCCGCGUAGUCC
rnacentral:rRNA from 1 species